AAAAAAAUGCAAUUAGUUACUGGUGAUACUUAAAAGUAAAAUGAUACCAAAUAAAGUGCGAUCUUUACCCCUUUCUUGCUAACGAGCUAGUAAUACUUGCAGAAAUCAUUGCCUUCACAAGUCACUAUGAUUGCGGUCGAAUUUUGAAUUGAUACAAUCUUUUACAAUUUGUUUUUGAUAAUACAUAGCAAGACAGAAUUUGCUAUUUUCCUUUGAUCCCCAACAAGCAGAUGCCUUGGGACACGCUUGAAGAAAUAAUGGAGAAAAAUAAUAUAUUCAUAAAGAUGUGCCUCCCAGCAUUACUUGUAAUAGUGGAAUUAGAAACAACCUAAAUUUUUUAAAUAGGGACUCAAGAUGGCGCUGUGAGAACAACCCAGGAUUGAAGCUCUUGCUGGAUGCACGGAGAGGAUUAAGACGUCAAAACUAUAAUUGUGAAAUCUGCUUCAAGGCAAAAGACUUCUUCAGGCAUAGAACUGCAUUACAAUGCUUCCAACAGCCUUCAUAUGAACACCUCCCAGAGUUCCACAUAUAGAAGAACCUAUGAACAAGAUGAUUCAAAGUAUGAACAUAGGAUUGCAGAGGCCCAAAAGAAUUUGUACUUCAAGACUAGGCUGACGUGCCCUACGUCACUUUCAGGAGGAAGAUAAAGGGCCUUAAUCACUUAUGAAAGGUCUCAAGAGCCUCUAUACUAUUCAUGAUACCAAGUUAAUUUCUUGUGUUGGAAAAAAAUAAUCUUGUUCACAAUGUAAUUUGGAAAUAAUUCAAUGGAAACAUUAAUAAGACUGCAUGCUUACAAGGAGUCAGCUAAACGUAAGGAAUGUUUUCAUAACAAUAUUAUUCUAUGGGUACUUCUGUAAGGUGGAUGAUCAUCUUAAUGUAAAGAAAAAAGGGAGAUGAAUCAAAUUGUCUAACAAGACUGUUGUACCACAAGUGUUGGCAGGUGCAAUGUGUAAUGGAGAAAUGUACCACAGCUUAACUGGAAGAGGGAGCCCUUAACUGCUGAUGACAAUGCUUCAGUGUUCCCUUUUCUGGACUAAAUAAGCUAUGAAUAUGUUACAAGCAUCAUAAGACAACCUUUUCAGAGUCUUCUGCA
rnacentral:lncRNA from 1 species